AUUAUACCAGGCGGGGAGUGUGCUGCCCCCUCUGGCGUACACAUCUCUGCCUGAAGGUGGCAGUAUUACGACAGAGGUACGAAAGUUAUAAUGUCAGAAGAAGCGGUUAAUCUGCAGCCGAACUUCAGCAGUGUUCGUUCACAAGUUAAGAGAACAUAUGUCUUUUUACAGUAAUCUUCAACUGAGAGUGACAAAUAAAUCCUUGAAGAAAGAAGA